rnacentral:rRNA from 1 species
UCCAGACUCCUACGGGAGGCAGCAGUGGGGGAUAUUGCACAAUGGGGGGAACCCUGAUGCAGCGACGCCGCGUGGGUGAAGGAGCGUUUCGGCGCGUAAAGCCCUCUCGGCAGGGAAGAAGGAGGACGGUACCUGACUAAGAAGCCCCGGCUAACUACGUGCCAGCAGCCGCGGUAAUACGUAGGGGGCAAGCGUUAUCCGGAUUUACUGGGUGUAAAGGGGGCGCAGACGGCAGCGCAAGCCAGGAGUGAAAGCCCGGGGCCCAACCCCGGGACUGCUCUUGGAACUGCGUGGCUGGAGUGCAGGAGGGGCAGGCGGAAUUCCUGGUGUAGCGGUGAAAUGCGUAGAUAUCAGGAGGAACACCGGUGGCGAAGGCGGCCUGCUGGACUGCAACUGACGUUGAGGCCCGAAAGCGUGGGGAGCAAACAGGAUUAGAUACCCCAGUAA